GUGUCAGCCGCCGCGGUAAUACGUAGGGGGCGAGCGUUACCCGGAUUCACUGGGCGUAAAGGGGGCGUAGGUGGCCGUGUAAGUCCGGUGUGAAAAGCCACGGCUCAACCGUGGACCUGCGCUGGAAACUAUAUGGCUUGAGGACGGUAGAGGGAGACGGAACUGCUGGUGUAGGGGUGAAAUCCGUAGAUAUCAGCAGGAACGCCGGUGGGGAAGCCGGUCUCCUGGGCCGUUCCUGACGCUGAGGCCCGAAAGCUAGGGGAGCAAACCGGAUUAGAUACCCGGGUAGUCCUAGCCGUAAACGAUGCCCACUAGGUGUGGGGGAAUAAUUCCUCUGUGCUGUAGCUAACGCGUUAAGUGGGCCGCCUGGGGAGUAUGCCCGCAAGGGUGAA
rnacentral:rRNA from 1 species